rnacentral:rRNA from 1 species
GGGUUGUGAGGUUAAGCGACUAAGCGUACACGGUGGAUGCCCUGGCAGUCAGAGGCGAUGAAGGGCGUGCUAAUCUGCGAUAAGCGCCGGUAAGGUGAUAUGAACCGUUAUAACCGGCGAUACCCGAAUGGGGAAACCCAGUGUGACUCGUCACACUAUCAUUAACUGAAUCCAUAGGUUAAUGAGGCGAACCGGGGGAACUGAAACAUCUAAGUACCCCGAGGAAAAGAAAUCAACCGAGAUUCCCCCAGUAGCGGCGAGCGAACGGGGAGGAGCCCAGAGCCUGAAUCAGCAUGUGUGUUAGUGGAAGCGUCUGGAAAGGCGCGCGAUACAGGGUGAUAGCCCCGUACACAAAAGCGCAUGUGUUGUGAGCUCGAUGAGUAGGGCGGGACACGUGGUAUCCUGUCUGAAUAUGGGGGGACCAUCCUCCAAGGCUAAAUACUCCUGACUGACCGAUAGUGAACCAGU